rnacentral:rRNA from 1 species
GACGAACGCUGGCGGCGUGCCUAAUACAUGCAAGUAGAACGCACAGUUUAUACCGUUGCUUGCUACACCAUAAACUGUGAGUUGCGAACGGGUGAGUAACGCGUAGCUAACCUGCCUGGUAGCUGGGGAUAACUAUUGGAAACGAUAGCUAAUACCGCAUGAUAUUGAUUAUUGCAUGAUAAUUGAUUGAAGGUUGCUAUUGCAUCACUACCAGAUGGACCUGCGUUGUAUUAGCUAGUAGGUGAGGUAACGGCUCACCUAGGCGGGGAUACAUAGCCGACCUGCGAGGGUGAUCGGCCGCACUGGGAGUGAGACACGGCCCAGAGUCCCACGGGAGGGAGCCGUACGGAUACGUCGGGAAGGGGCGGAAGUCUGAGCGAGAAACGCCGAGGGAGUGAAGAAGGAUGUCGGGUCGGAAAGGACUGUUGUAAGGGAAGAAAGGGUGUGAGAGUGGAAAGUUCACACUGUGACGGUAUCUGACCAGAAAGGGACGGCUAACUACGUG